UUGUUAACUCUAAACAUGACUUUUCUGGGCUUCUUUAAAUAAAAAGCCUCCUGCAGAUGUAGGCUGUGUCAGUGUUCUGGUGCACCAAUAGGCCUUAAUGACCAUGACCAGUCUCACCUGGAGCCUCCACCCACACCCUCUGCCCGUGGGCCCAGGGUCUCCAUAUAAGUUCAAGACUGGGCUUUCAGUACCUUUUUGAGCUGUAUCAAGUGUGCCUCUCUAGCUCAGCUGGAUCUGUUGGGUUGCUGUGGAGUUGCUUGGUGAUCACUUGACCUGACCUGUGGAUUGACUUGCUAACUUGGUCUUGAACCUGCUGCAUCACUGCAACCUUUUCAGAUGAUCUGGACUCUUGGUUGACCCCAGCUGCCAUCCACAGACCUGCCUUGCUCACCUCACUGAGAAGCAAGACCUGUCCUUGCAGUGGGUUAGAAUGAUGACUGCAAAAGGAAAGCAGAGCUGAAGACGCUUCUGUCACACUGAUGAUUGUUUCCUUGCAUGCUUUCUAAACACUAGCAAAAGGUUUUUGAAAGGGCAAAUAAGUCAAUUUCAGAAAUAUCAGUGCUGACAACUUAUUUUCUUUCAGAAUCGCUGCCUUUAAAAAAAUUGCCUAAGGAUGCUCUGUGAGAAAAUUAAAUUAAUUUAUUAACGCUGCAGGAUUUACUUGAAAGAAUUCCAAACCUAAACAUGAGCCUCCAAAAUAACAUCUUUCAAACUUUGUCCUGCUUCAAUAAAAGCUGUCAAGUACCAUGAA